rnacentral:rRNA from 1 species
UACAGAGGGGCAAGCGUUGUUCGGAAUUACUGGGCGUAAAGGGCUCGUAGGCGGCCAACUAAGUCAGACGUGAAAUCCCUCGGCUUAACCGGGGAACUGCGUCUGAUACUGGAUGGCUUGAGAUUGGGAGAGGGAUGCGGAAUUCCAGGUGUAGCGGUGAGAUGCGUAGAUAUCUGGAGGAACACCGGUGGCGAAGGCGACAUCCUGGACCAAUACUGACGCUGAGGAGCGAAAGCCAGGGAGCAAAGCGGG